rnacentral:rRNA from 1 species
GCAAGUCCCUAUGGUGAUUCAUUGGCCUGGCAAAGUGGCAGGAACCUAUGCUCAUCGCUCUAGUCAUCUCGAUUUCUCGGUAACACUCAUGCAAGAUUUGCUCGGUGUUUCCUCUAAUCCGGUUGACUACAGCAGCGGUAAAAAUCUGUUUAACGAAAGUAAGCGCAAAUGGAUUUUGGCGGGCGAUGCUCGUGAGCUCGCCUUGAUUACCGAUACACAAACUACAGUGUUGGAUAAGUUUGGUAAUUUCAAAGUCUACGAUGGCGAUUACCAACGUCUUAAAGAAACCAACCCAACACUGCCUGUAUUAAUGCAAGGUUUGACCGAAUUGCAGCGUUUUUACGCAAAAGAUAAUUAAAUUCAUUAUUUUAAGUCGGUUCAGGGUUGACGCAUCUAGUAAAAGUCAUUAGAUUACGCGCAUCGGACUGUAGCGCAGCUUGGUAGCGCACCGUCAUGGGGUGUCGGGGGUCGGAGGUUCAAAUCCUCUCAGUCCGACCAUACACCUAAAGGGGAGUUUCUUAGAAACUCCCCUUUUCCGUUUUAUUUAAUGUGUAAAAUAGCACUUAGUCAUAAAAAUAGCGGCCAAGUGUACAUAAUUGAAGCAAACAGUAUUUUCAGGGCUUUACAAUCGAACUUAGGGUCGAUAUUAUGCGCCCCAUAACGGAGAGAUGGCUGAGUGGUUGAAAGCACCGGUCUUGAAAACCGGCGAUGGUUAAUAGCUAUCCUAGGGUUCAAAUCCCUAUCUCUCCGCCACAUUAGAAAAGCCGCUGANAAACCGGGGGAACUGAAACAUCUAAGUACCCCGAGGAGAAGAAAUCAACCGAGAUUCCGGUAGUAGCGGCGAGCGAACCUGGAUUAGCCCUUAAGCACUCGGUGAAGUAGGUGAACAAGCUGGAAAGCUUGGCGAUACAGGGUGAUAGCCCCGUAACCGACGCUUCAUCGAGCGUGAAAUCGAGUAGGGCGGGACACGUGAUAUCCUGUCUGAAUAUGGGGGGACCAUCCUCCAAGGCUAAAUACUCCUGACUGACCGAUAGUGAACCAGUACCGUGAGGGAAAGGCGAAAAGAACCCCUGUGAGGGGAGUGAAAUAGAACCUGAAACCGUGUACGUACAAGCAGUAGGAGCACCUUCGUGGUGUGACUGCGUACCUUUUGUAUAAUGGGUCAGCGACUUAUAUUCAGUGGCAAGGUUAACCGUAUAGGGGAGCCGUAGCGAAAGCGAGUCUUAACUGGGCGCUCAGUCUCUGGAUAUAGACCCGAAACCGGGUGAUCUAGCCAUGGGCAGGUUGAAGGUUGAGUAACAUCAACUGGAGGACCGAACCGACUAAUGUUGAAAAAUUAGCGGAUGACUUGUGGCUAGGGGUGAAAGGCCAAUCAAACUCGGAGAUAGCUGGUUCUCCCCGAAAGCUAUUUAGGUAGCGCCUCGGACGAAUACUACUGGGGGUAGAGCACUGUUAAGGCUAGGGGGUCAUCCCGACUUACCAACCCUUUGCAAACUCCGAAUACCAGUAAGUACUAUCCGGGAGACACACGGCGGGUGCUAACGUCCGUCGUGGAGAGGGAAACAACCCAGACCGCCAGCUAAGGUCCCAAAGUAUUGCUAAGUGGGAAACGAUGUGGGAAGGCUCAGACAGCUAGGAUGUUGGCUUAGAAGCAGCCAUCAUUUAAAGAAAGCGUAAUAGCUCACUAGUCGAGUCGGCCUGCGCGGAAGAUGUAACGGGGCUAAGCAAUACACCGAAGCUGCGGCAAUGUCUUUUAGACAUUGGGUAGGGGAGCGUUCUGUAAGCCGUUGAAGGUGAAUCGUAAGGUUUGCUGGAGGUAUCAGAAGUGCGAAUGCUGACAUGAGUAACGACAAAGGGGGUGAAAAACCUCCUCGCCGGAAGACCAAGGGUUCCUGUCCAACGUUAAUCGGGGCAGGGUGAGUCGACCCCUAAGGUGAGGCCGAAAGGCGUAAUCGAUGGGAAACGGGUUAAUAUUCCCGUACUUCUGACUAUUGCGAUGGGGGGACGGAGAAGGCUAGGUGGGCCAGGCGACGGUUGUCCUGGUUCAAGUGCGUAGGCUUGAGAGUUAGGUAAAUCCGGCUCUCUCUAAGGCUGAGACACGACGUCGAGCUACUACGGUAGUGAAGUCAUUGAUGCCAUGCUUCCAGGAAAAGCCUCUAAGCUUCAGAUAGUCAGGAAUCGUACCCCAAACCGACACAGGUGGUCGGGUAGAGAAUACCAAGGCGCUUGAGAGAACUCGGGUGAAGGAACUAGGCAAAAUGGUACCGUAACUUCGGGAGAAGGUACGCUCUUGAUGGUGAAGUCCCUCGCGGAUGGAGCUGACGAGAGUCGCAGAUACCAGGUGGCUGCAACUGUUUAUUAAAAACACAGCACUGUGCAAAAUCGCAAGAUGACGUAUACGGUGUGACGCCUGCCCGGUGCCGGAAGGUUAAUUGAUGGGGUUAGCGCAAGCGAAGCUCUUGAUCGAAGCCCCGGUAAACGGCGGCCGUAACUAUAACGGUCCUAAGGUAGCGAAAUUCCUUGUCGGGUAAGUUCCGACCUGCACGAAUGGCGUAAUGAUGGCCACGCUGUCUCCACCCGAGACUCAGUGAAAUUGAAAUCGCUGUGAAGAUGCAGUGUACCCGCGGCUAGACGGAAAGACCCCGUGAACCUUUACUACAGCUUGGCACUGAACAUUGAACCUACAUGUGUAGGAUAGGUGGGAGGCUAUGAAGACGUGACGCCAGUUGCGUUGGAGCCGUCCUUGAAAUACCACCCUUGUAUGUUUGAUGUUCUAACUUAGACCCAUUAUCUGGGUUGAGGACAGUGCCUGGUGGGUAGUUUGACUGGGGCGGUCUCCUCCCAAAGAGUAACGGAGGAGCACGAAGGUGGGCUAAUCACGGUUGGACAUCGUGAGGUUAGUGCAAUGGCAUAAGCCCGCUUAACUGCGAGAAUGACGGUUCGAGCAGGUGCGAAAGCAGGUCAUAGUGAUCCGGUGGUUCUGUAUGGAAGGGCCAUCGCUCAACGGAUAAAAGGUACUCCGGGGAUAACAGGCUGAUACCGCCCAAGAGUUCAUAUCGACGGCGGUGUUUGGCACCUCGAUGUCGGCUCAUCACAUCCUGGGGCUGAAGUCGGUCCCAAGGGUAUGGCUGUUCGCCAUUUAAAGUGGUACGCGAGCUGGGUUUAGAACGUCGUGAGACAGUUCGGUCCCUAUCUGCCGUGGGCGUUGGAAGAUUGAAGGGGGCUGCUCCUAGUACGAGAGGACCGGAGUGGACGAACCUCUGGUGUUCGGGUUGUGUCGCCAGACGCAUUGCCCGGUAGCUAAGUUCGGAAUUGAUAAGCGCUGAAAGCAUCUAAGCGCGAAGCGAGCCCUGAGAUGAGUCUUCCCUGACAGUUUAACUGUCCUAAAGGGUUGUUCGAGACUAGAACGUUGAUAGGCAGGGUGUGUAAGCGUUGUGAGGCGUUGAGCUAACCUGUACUAAUUGCCCGUGAGGCUUAACCAU